rnacentral:rRNA from 1 species
GAUGAACGCUGGCGGCGCGCCUAACACAUGCAAGUCGAACGGAGUGGAGAAGGGCUGAGUAACACGUGGUCAACCUGCCCUCCUCUUGGGGGUAGACACGGGAUACCGGGAUAAUACCCGAUAGAGAAGGAUGGCGCGCGGCCUGUUAGCUUGUUGGUGGGGUAGAGGCCCACCAAGGUAAUGAUGGGUAGCUGGGUUGGGAGAGCGACCAGCCAGAAUGGGACUGAGGCACGGCCCAGACGCCUACGGGGGGCAACAGUGGGGAACCUUGUGCAGUGGGGGAACGCGUGAGGCAGCGGCGCUGGGGGCGGAACGUAGGCCCAGGGGUUGUGAACCGCUUUCAGCAGGGACGCAGUACCUGCAGAAGAAGCCCCGGCUAACUACGUGCCAGCAGCCGCGGUAAUUC